ensembl:processed_transcript Gm15527 predicted gene 15527
GAGAGUCGCGGGCAGGCAGCAGAUCCUGCUUGGGUCUUUUAGGAUGAGCAGGAUGAUAUUGUCUCACAUUUGCUGAGUCUAGAAGGCAGGUCUCUCCAGUGGUUUUUGGAGCAAAUGUUUUGAUGGGCCAGCGUGGACACUGCCCAAACAUACAAGCAACUUGCCUAGUCUCCAGCUGGAAGCAAAUGCUACUCAUGAUGUGCUGUGGCACUAUGGUGGGCACAGGAAACUAAGGAUAACUAACAUUCAGGCCUUCACUUCAAGGAGCCAAUAUUUGCAAGAGUGAAGAGAAAUGGCCUUGAACCGUGUAGUCAUGUAACAAUUCCUGCUCCGGGACUCGGAAGAGGUGAACUUGGGUACAAUAUACCCUCAUGCCUUCUGGGUCCAGAGACCAGAUCUGAAGCAGAAACCCACUGGGUACACACUGGAAGCUGGCUGUGUGUAAAAGCUCCCAGAGAGACUCCAGUGAGGGAUCAUGCAGUUGCUGAAACAUUAUUGUUAUAAAUGAUACAGCAUGGAGCUAAAUAAAUGAGCUUUUGAAACACUGGAGCGAGCAGUAUUCCACACAUGUGUAUAUCCACACUUGCUUAUCCACUCAUCUGUGGGUGGAUAUUUAAGUUGCUUCCUCCUCUGGGCUAUUGUGAACAUGAACACUGUGAACAUCUGUGUGGGGUGAUGGCCUCAGCACCUGUUUUUAAUUCUUCAGGGGAAUGGCACCACCCACUGUUCUGGGUCUUCCUGAAUCAAUCGACAAUCAAAACAACCCC